AUUGCAUUUUCUUCGAGCUGGGUCAUGAAUGUGUUCUUGUACAGUGCUAAGAACACUCUUUGACUUCGGUUUGAAGAGUUAUGUGCAGU
rnacentral:pre_miRNA from 1 species